rnacentral:miRNA from 1 species
ACCCGUCUCUUAAUUUUUAAC